UGCGUUUUCGCUCCUAGGCUCACUGGUGGGAAGUUUGCUAGCCUUUCUUAAAGAAGAGUAGUCGCCUAGCGAGAGUAGUUGUCUAUGCCUCGCUUUUUUAGGUUAUGCAAUAGAGUUCAAAAGGAAAUGGUUUAUGUUUAAACCAAUCAAGGGUUUUUUAUACGCCGGAAGUUAUAGCAGUGACCUGUGACGAGAGGAGCUAAUUACUAGAGACCGAACGAGAGCAGGCUGGCUUACAGGGGCGGAUGGACGAGGGCAGAGUAGUUUCCACAGAAUCAAAAGGACUCUUCCUGAGUUCUCGAUUACUUGCCCGACCAGACGAGAUUAGUUGAAUGACCAAAGCAGAAGAAGGCAUAGUGAUCACUGACCCGGAUUUAAUUUUGUAUUUCCUAGCUUUAAAAAGAGAGGCGCAUAAGCACUCGUAACUGAGAAUGGUAUAACAUAAGCACGAGUUGAUCCAUUAGAUAUAAAUGUUGGUUGAGUCCUCUCCAAUGCUCCUGUUUAGCCUGUUCCGAUCUUCCUCAACCGUUGAGGAAGGUUGUUUUUGGCAACGACGCUUUUGCUUUUAGUCUUGUCUGAAAGCAGAAAGGCUGCCAAUUAGCAAACCAACUCAUUCAAUCGCAAGUCAAAGGCCCUAAGGGGCCUUGCACAAGGAGGAGGAGAGCUUGGUCACUUGGUGGGUGGGUAGGACUACGUACUUCAUCUUCCUGUAGGAGGGUCCAGGUCCAUAGCCCUUUAUCGAAGAUCCAUAUUCAGUUGAUGCCAGGCACAGCUUAUUUAAGUAGCCACUUUGUCCGAGUUGUUUAUCCAGCAGUGGAACCAUCGCCCGGAAGGUGAGGUCGCGUGUCAAAGCAGCACAAAUAGGAACUACAUCCAGUACCGAAUCCAGAAAGAAUUCCAAUUUCCACAUCUCCCUCGAAGACAUCUCUCCAAUUGACUCCAUGAAGCACUGCAGUGAUAAAUUGGCCAUUCUUUGUUGCUGACGUCGUACCAAAGCGCUGGCAUUUCCGCUCGGCUUGACACUGUGGGCUCUUGAUGACUCACACUUGGGCUACAAUGACAAAAAACCCGUGAGGGGGAGAUUCUUUGACGUAAUCGUUGACCUG
rnacentral:lncRNA from 1 species